GAGACAGGCGGCGGGCGUCAGUCGCGUGUUGGAAGUGAGUGGAAGUGGGUGUGUGUUGCGGCUCUCCGAGGUCUGUACUCGCCUGGGUGCCGCUGACCGUCAUACUCUUUACCAGCGAAAGAAACAAAGUCAAAAAUGUUAUCGGUGUUUACAUAAUACCUUUAGGGGGAAAAGUACAUACACUGAACCAACCUCCGGCAUACAGUGUUGGCUCCAGCUGUGCGAGGUACUCAGUGUGUUGUCGGGCAGUGUGUUGCAGUGUAUUGCCAUGACAAACCUAUAACUUACCAGUGUACCUAUCCGAAGUUUUCUGGUGCUUGUGUUUCUGCAAAGCCCCAGUAAGACUCUCCUCUGGCCCUCUCACUCGCCCCUCCACCUGUCCCAGCUCCCUUAUACCUCCUGCGCCACGACCAGCAGCUGCAGACACUCAACAGAGGCGCGGAGUUGACGAGAACCGGACCUGGAGAUAGAAAAAAAAAAUAAAUAAAUAAAAAAAAAAAGCUAACAAGAAAGAAGGUUGGAUAGAAAAAAAAAACUAGCUAACCAAGAAAACUAGAACAAGAAGAGAUUUUACAAUAUUGUGAUUUAUUGAAGGACAUUCUGAACCUCACCUGUGGCAAAUAUUAGUAAAUAAUAAUAGAUACGAGUGGCAACAUCUGCUCCUUUAAAAACACACACACACACACUCACACGCUCUUUGUUUUGCCUCUACUGUGUGCGUGUGUGUAUCCGUGUGUAUCCUUGUGUACGUACGUAGGUGUGUCUGUGUGUGAGUGUAAGUCUGUAAGUGUGUGCGUGGAGAAGGAAGGAAACUUGUUGUGUGUGUCGCGGCUGGCGGUGGUGGUGGGUUGAAAACUUCUUCUUUCGGAUCAGUGGUGGAUUCAGCGCACGAAGGAAAUCCCUCUCGAGUGAAAGUGAGAUAAAAUUCCACAGCGGGACGACAUUCUUUCUCAACUGUGCCGAGGAUUUAUAGAAAGAACUCAGACCGCUCCCCACCCACCCACCCCUUCUCUCCUUCACUCCCUCCCAAGCCCGCCCACCCGUGCCAGCAGAUCUGUGAGUGCGCGUGUGUGCGUGUGUGUAUUGGAGCGUCCGUGCAUCAAGGAAGGAAAACGGGACUAGAGGCUGUUGUUGUCUCCGUGUGAAGUGGUGUGAGGAGUUGGUGAGGUUACUUACUGCCACCAUCCCUACCACUACUGCUACUACUUCACGACUACUACUACUACUACUACCGCCGCCAUUAUCAACACUAACAACGGUCUGCAAGAAAUACUGUCAUCCACUUCAUUAUGGUAAGUGAGUGAAGAGCGACGUGCAUGAUUGCGUUGUGUAUGUUCUGCACCAGCUGGCGUCACCGGAGUCCUCUUGAUAGGCAGGUAAGGUCAUUAGAGGCAGGAAAAAGACCAAAGAAAUCUUAUUUUUAUAUAUAUUACCUUAUUCUAUAUUUUUUAUUAUGGUUGUCGUAUUAAAUUAUUAUCGACAAAAGUGGAAUGGUUUGUAUCACAGCUUGGUGCUUGUUUAGUUUCCAUUACUGUGUUGCAUAUUUUUCUUCCUAGUACUCUCUCUCUCUCUCUCUCUCUCUCUCUCUCUCUCUCUCUCUCUCUCUCUCUCUCUCUCUCUCUCUCUCUCUCUCUCUCAUCCCUUUUAUGGCGGUAGUGAUUAUUUUAACACAUAUUUUAUCCUCUACCCUUUUUCUUCCUCGUAGUUCUCAGCUACUACAUUUUUUUUUCUUCCCUUCCCACGCUUUUACAGUUUCCCUCCCCUCGUCUUCACUAAUCCUUCAGUUUAUUGCUCCAUCUCUCUCUUACAUAUUUUUCUUUAUGUUUCUGUGUUUCUUUUCCAUCAUCACUGUUUGAAUUGAAUGUCUUUUUUCCUUUCUCUCUUCACCACUUCCUCUCUUCUUUCCUUGUUCAUCCAUCCAAGAGGAGGAGGAGGAGAAGGAGAAAAA